rnacentral:rRNA from 1 species
AUUGAACGCUGGCGGCAGGCUUAACACAUGCAAGUCGAACGAGUGGCGGACGGGUGAGUAAUGCUUGGGAAUCUAGCUGAUGGAGGGGGAUAACUACGGGAAACUGUAGCUAAUACCGCGUACCAUAGGAUGAGCCCAAGGGGGAUUAGGUAGUUGGUGAGGUAAAGGCCCACAAAGACGACGAUCUCUAGCUGGUCUGAGAGGAGAACCAGCCAAACUGGGACUGAGAAACGGCCCAGACUCCUACGGUAGGCAGCAGUGGGGAAGUGUCGGCAAUGGGGGGAAACUAGCGCAGCACUGCCGCGUGAAUGAAGAAGGCCUUCGGGUUGGAAAGGUCUUUCGGGUGGGAGGCGUUAACUACAGAAGAAGCACCGGCUAACUCCGUGCCAGCCGCCGCGGUAAUUC